GCAACCUACCGCAAACGUUUUAAUUCCCGUAAAAUUGCUUAAUUUUAAAUAAAAUGAAUCUUUUUUGUCACCAUUUUUAAUGAGCUUUAUUGUGUCUCUUAUUUACAAGUUUUUCAGAUCAUUCGUCGGAAUCAAGAGAGGUAUAAAUAAAUUAGAUAAAUUUAAAAAAGUGUUUUCGUUAAUGUUCAUCUAUCCUUUUUUGUCAAUAAAAAAUUAGUUGAAGCUGCUUAAUCUAUUACAAACGCUGAAAAGGAAGCUUUAUCCAACAAUCAAAGCGAUUUGCCGUACAGCAACAGCAAAUUGCAAGCCCAAGAGGAGAUCUCGCGGAAGUCGACUGGUUCGGGAUGGUUGAUAAAGAUAGUGCUAGUUUUUUUCUUCGGUCAUCUCUCUUAUUAUAAUAUCUGUUUUCAGAUUAAUGAGCGCCGGUAAGAACUCAAAUUUCCUGCAAAAAUGGAUAACCUUAAGUGGCGAAAUCGAACUCGAAAGACAAAGUUUCGGCCUUUACAUCUUUGGAUUG